GCCUGGCUAGCUCAGUUGGGAGAGUAUGAGACUCUAAUGUUCAGGAUUGUGGGUUUGAGCCCCACUCUAGGCA
rnacentral:tRNA from 1 species